rnacentral:misc_RNA from 1 species
UUUCCGUAGGUGAACCUGCGGAAGGAUCAUUAAAGAAUUGCCCCGUCUUCUCGAAGAUGGGUUCUAUUCCAAACCGUGUUUACAUACCUUUGUUGCUUUGGCGGGCCGCCGCUUCGGCGUUGGCUCCGGCUGACUGCGCCCGCCAGAGGACCACAACUCUUUUGUUCAGUAAUGUCUGAGUACUAUAUAAUAGUUAAAACUUUCAACAACGGAUCUCUUGGUUCUG